rnacentral:rRNA from 1 species
CCUACGGGAGGCAGCAGUGAGGAAUAUUGGUCAAUGGACGAGAGUCUGAACCAGCCAAGUAGCGUGAAGGAUGACUGCCCUAUGGGUUGUAAACUUCUUUUAUAUGGGAAUAAAACAGGGUAUGCAUACCCUCUUGUAUGUACCAUAUGAAUAAGGAUCGGCUAACUCCGUGCCAGCAGCCGCGGUAAUACGGAGGAUGCGAGCGUUAUCCGGAUUUAUUGGGUUUAAAGGGUGCGCAGGCGGAUUUUUAAGUCAGCGGUCAAAUCGUGGGGCUCAACCCCAUCCAGCCGUUGAAACUGGGGAUCUAGAGUGUGCGAGAGGUAUGCGGAAUGCGUGGUGUAGCGGUGAAAUGCAUAGAGAUCAUACAGAACACCGAUUGCGAAGGCAGCUUACCAAUCUAUAUCUGACGUUGAGGCACGAAAGCGUGGGGAGCAAACAGGAUUAGAUACCCUUGUAGUC